rnacentral:rRNA from 1 species
AACCUGGUUGAUCCUGCCAGUAGUCAUAUGCUUGUCUCAAAGAUUAAGCCAUGCAUGUCUAAGUACAAGCCAAAUUAAGGUGAAACCGCGAAAGGCUCAUUAAAUCAGUUAUGGUUCCUUAGAUCGUACCACACAUUUACUUGGAUAACUGUGGUAAUUCUAGAGCUAAUACAUGCAAACAGAGCUCUGACCAGAGAUGGGAGGAGUGCUUUUAUUAGAUCAAAACCAAACGGCAGCAGUCAUUACUUUCGGGUGUGGCUGUGUUUGUCGAUUUUAUGAUUGGUGACUCUGAAUAACUUUAUGCUGAUCGCAUGGUCUUGUACCGGCGACGCAUCUUUCAAAUGUCUGCCUUAUCAACUGUCGAUGGUAAGAUCUGCGCUUACCAUGGUUGUAACGGGUAACGGGGAAUCAGGGUUCGAUUCCGGAGAGGGAGCCUGAGAAACGGCUACCACAUCCAAGGAAGGCAGCAGGCGCGCAAAUUACCCACUCCCGGCACGGGGAGGUAGUGACGAAAAAUAACGAUACGGGACUCAUCCGAGGCCCCGUAAUCGGAAUGAGUACACUUUAAAUCCUUUAACAAGGACCAAUUGGAGGGCCAGUCUGGUGCCAGCAGCCGCGGUAAUUCCAGCUCCAAUAGCGUAUAUUAAAGUUGUUGCGGUUAAAAAGCUCGUAGUUGAAUCUGUGUCCCGUGCUGUCGGUUCACUGCUCGUCAGUGAUCACUGGCAUGUUCACGGGACGUCCUGCCGGUGGAUGUGUGUGUUUGAUACAAGAGUCUCUAUUAUGUCUAGCUAUAUUACACACUUUUUGCAUGCGCCUCUUUCUUCCUUAACCGGGGUUAAAGGCAGUGCAUUAAGUUCAGUGUGUAUGGGCGGUAGUAGGUAAGACGUGUAUUCAAUCACCGUCCUAGUAAUAUAUCCUGUCGCAGUGCUCUUAAUUGAGUGUUGAGGCGGGCCGGCACGUUUACUUUGAACAAAUUAGAGUGCUCAAAGCAGGCUCAUUUAUGCCUGAAUAUUGUGUGCAUGGAAUAAUGGAACAGGACCUCGGUUCUAUUUUGUUGGUUUUCGGAAUAAUCCGAGGUAAUGAUUAAUAGGGACAGAUGGGGGCAUUCGUAUUGCAACGUUAGAGGUGAAAUUCUUGGAUCGUUGCAAGACGGACUAAAGCGAAAGCAUUUGCCAAAGAUGUUUUCAUUAAUCAAGAACGAAAGUCAGAGGUUCGAAGGCGAUCAGAUACCGCCCUAGUUCUGACCAUAAACGAUGCCAGCUAGCGAUCCGCCGACGUUCCUCCGAUGACUCGGCGGGCAGCUUCCGGGAAACCAAAGCUUUUGGGUUCCGGGGGAAGUAUGGUUGCAAAGCUGAAACUUAAAGGAAUUGACGGAAGGGCACCACCAGGAGUGGAGCCUGCGGCUUAAUUUGACUCAACACGGGAAACCUCACCAGGCCCAGACACUGGAAGGAUUGACAGAUUGAGAGCUCUUUCUUGAUUCAGUGGGUGGUGGUGCAUGGCCGUUCUUAGUUGGUGAAGCGAUUUGUCUGGUUAAUUCCGAUAACGAACGAGACUCUAGCCUGCUAACUAGGCGUAACCAAAUACCGGUAUCUUGAAGGCUCCGACACUUGUUCCGUGAUGUUCAUUCUGUGCGCAUUACUUUUGGUUCGUAGUUGAAUCGUUACUAUUUGUACUUGUGCAAAUGUGUGCGGUUUGCUGCGGGUCGGGUGUGUUGUAUGGGUGGCUCUGGAAUGAUGUUGUUGGGUUUUUACUACCGGCGUAUAUAUACAAUCUUCUUAGAGGGACAGGCGGCUUCUAGCCGCACGAGAUUGAGCAAUAACAGGUCUGUGAUGCCCUUAGAUGUUUUGGGCCGCACGCGCGCUACACUGAAGGAAUCAGCGUGUCUUCCCUGGCCGAAAGGUCCGGGUAACCCGCUGAACCUCCUUCGUGCUAGGGAUUGGGGCUUGCAAUUAUUCCCCAUGAACGAGGAAUUCCCAGUAAGCGUGAGUCAUAAGCUCGCGUUGAUUACGUCCCUGCCCUUUGUACACACCGCCCGUCGCUACUACCGAUUGAAUGAUUUAGUGAGGUCUUCAGACUGGUACUCGGUGAUGUUUCGUACAUUACCGAAGUACGCUAGGAAGAUGACCAAACUUGAUUAAU